rnacentral:rRNA from 1 species
UACGGAGGGUGCAAGCGUUGUCCGGAAUCACUGGGCGUAAAGGGCGCGUAGGCGGCCCCUUUUGUCGCGUGUGAAAGCCCCGGGCUCAACCUGGGAGGUGCGCGCGAAACGGGGGGGCUUGAGUUCGGGAGAGGAGAGUGGAAUUCCCAGUGUAGAGGUGAAAUUCGUAGAUAUUGGGAAGAACACCGGUGGCGAAGGCGGCUCUCUGGACCGAGACUGACGCUGAGGCGCGAAAGCGUGGGGAGCAAACAGG